rnacentral:rRNA from 1 species
GGGUUGUGAGGUUAAGCGACUAAGCGUACACGGUGGAUGCCCUGGCAGUCAGAGGCGAUGAAGGACGUGCUAAUCUGCGAUAAGCGUCGGUGAGGUGAUAUGAACCGUUAUAACCGGCGAUUUCCGAAUGGGGAAACCCAGUGUGUUUCGACACACUAUCAUUAACUGAAUCCAUAGGUUAAUGAGGCGAACCGGGGGAACUGAAACAUCUAAGUACCCCGAGGAAAAGAAAUCAACCGAGAUUCCCCCAGUAGCGGCGAGCGAACGGGGAGGAGCCCAGAGCCUGAAUCAGUGUGUGUAUUAGUGGAAGCGUCUGGAAAGGCGCGCGAUACAGGGUGACAGCCCCGUACACAAAAAUGCACAUGCUGUGAGCUCGAUGAGUAGGGCGGGACACGUGGUAUCCUGUCUGAAUAUGGGGGGACCAUCCUCCAAGGCUAAAUACUCCUGACUGACCGAUAGUGAACCAGUACCGUGAGGGAAAGGCGAAAAGAACCCCGGCGAGGGGAGUGAAAAAGAACCUGAAACCGUGUACGUACAAGCAGUGGGAGCCUCUUAAUGGGGUGACUGCGUACCUUUUGUAUAAUGGGUCAGCGACUUAUAUUCUGUAGCAAGGUUAACCGAAUAGGGGAGCCGAAGGGAAACCGAGUCUUAACUGGGCGUUAAGUUGCAGGGUAUAGACCCGAAACCCGGUGAUCUAGCCAUGGGCAGGUUGAAGGUUGGGUAACACUAACUGGAGGACCGAACCGACUAAUGUUGAAAAAUUAGCGGAUGACUUGUGGCUGGGGGUGAAAGGCCAAUCAAACCGGGAGAUAGCUGGUUCUCCCCGAAAGCUAUUUAGGUAGCGCCUCGUGAAUUCAUCUCCGGGGGUAGAGCACUGUUUCGGCAAGGGGGUCAUCCCGACUUACCAACCCGAUGCAAACUGCGAAUACCGGAGAAUGUUAUCACGGGAGACACACGGCGGGUGCUAACGUCCGUCGUGAAGAGGGAAACAACCCAGACCGCCAGCUAAGGUCCCAAAGUCAUGGUUAAGUGGGAAACGAUGUGGGAAGGCCCAGACAGCCAGGAUGUUGGCUUAGAAGCAGCCAUCAUUUAAAGAAAGCGUAAUAGCUCACUGGUCGAGUCGGCCUGCGCGGAAGAUGUAACGGGGCUAAACCAUGCACCGAAGCUGCGGCAGCGACACUAUGUGUUGUUGGGUAGGGGAGCGUUCUGUAAGCCUGUGAAGGUGGCCUGUGAGGGUUGCUGGAGGUAUCAGAAGUGCGAAUGCUGACAUAAGUAACGAUAAAGCGGGUGAAAAGCCCGCUCGCCGGAAGACCAAGGGUUCCUGUCCAACGUUAAUCGGGGCAGGGUGAGUCGACCCCUAAGGCGAGGCCGAAAGGCGUAGUCGAUGGGAAACAGGUUAAUAUUCCUGUACUUGGUGUUACUGCGAAGGGGGGACGGAGAAGGCUAUGUUGGCCGGGCGACGGUUGUCCCGGUUUAAGCGUGUAGGCUGGUUUUCCAGGCAAAUCCGGAAAACCAAGGCUGAGGCGUGAUGACGAGGCACUACGGUGCUGAAGUGACAAAUGCCCUGCUUCCAGGAAAAGCCUCUAAGCAUCAGGUAACAUCAAAUCGUACCCCAAACCGACACAGGUGGUCAGGUAGAGAAUACCAAGGCGCUUGAGAGAACUCGGGUGAAGGAACUAGGCAAAAUGGUGCCGUAACUUCGGGAGAAGGCACGCUGAUAUGUAGGUGAAGCGACUUGCUCGUGGAGCUGAAAUCAGUCGAAGAUACCAGCUGGCUGCAACUGUUUAUUAAAAACACAGCACUGUGCAAACACGAAAGUGGACGUAUACGGUGUGACGCCUGCCCGGUGCCGGAAGGUUAAUUGAUGGGGUUAGCGGUAACGCGAAGCUCUUGAUCGAAGCCCCGGUAAACGGCGGCCGUAACUAUAACGGUCCUAAGGUAGCGAAAUUCCUUGUCGGGUAAGUUCCGACCUGCACGAAUGGCGUAAUGAUGGCCAGGCUGUCUCCACCCGAGACUCAGUGAAAUUGAACUCGCUGUGAAGAUGCAGUGUACCCGCGGCAAGACGGAAAGACCCCGUGAACCUUUACUAUAGCUUGACACUGAACAUUGAGCCUUGAUGUGUAGGAUAGGUGGGAGGCUUUGAAGUGUGGACGCCAGUCUGCAUGGAGCCGACCUUGAAAUACCACCCUUUAAUGUUUGAUGUUCUAACGUUGGCCCGUAAUCCGGGUUGCGGACAGUGUCUGGUGGGUAGUUUGACUGGGGCGGUCUCCUCCUAAAGAGUAACGGAGGAGCACGAAGGUUGGCUAAUCCUGGUCGGACAUCAGGAGGUUAGUGCAAUGGCAUAAGCCAGCUUGACUGCGAGCGUGACGGCGCGAGCAGGUGCGAAAGCAGGUCAUAGUGAUCCGGUGGUUCUGAAUGGAAGGGCCAUCGCUCAACGGAUAAAAGGUACUCCGGGGAUAACAGGCUGAUACCGCCCAAGAGUUCAUAUCGACGGCGGUGUUUGGCACCUCGAUGUCGGCUCAUCACAUCCUGGGGCUGAAGUAGGUCCCAAGGGUAUGGCUGUUCGCCAUUUAAAGUGGUACGCGAGCUGGGUUUAGAACGUCGUGAGACAGUUCGGUCCCUAUCUGCCGUGGGCGCUGGAGAACUGAGGGGGGCUGCUCCUAGUACGAGAGGACCGGAGUGGACGCAUCACUGGUGUUCGGGUUGUCAUGCCAAUGGCACUGCCCGGUAGCUAAAUGCGGAAGAGAUAAGUGCUGAAAGCAUCUAAGCACGAAACUUGCCCCGAGAUGAGUUCUCCCUGAGACUUAGAGUCUCCUGAAGGAACGUUGAAGACGACGACGUUGAUAGGCCGGGUGUGUAAGCGCAGCGAUGCGUUGAGCUAACCGGUACUAAUGAACCGUGAGGCUUAACCUUACAACGCCGAAG